GGCUACAGAAACUGUGGAAUUUACAUAGAGCUGUCAGCUAACUCCUCUAAACUGGGAUUUUGUUUCAGUUAAUGAGAGAAUGAGGCAACACUUACUGAGAGUGGAAGUGGCAGCCAUAAAGUCUUCUAUAAAACAGGUCUUUUUUUUAAGCUAUAUACUUAACGGAGUGGUUGGUUAAUUGGUUAGCUGACUAGCUAACAGUGAUUUCAGCAGAGGAGGAGGAAGAGUCUGCAUGGAUUCCAGCUGAAAAUCUCUACAAGCAAAUGAAGGGAAGAUGUUGCUUUUGACUCAUCAGACUGUAGAGAUUUGGUGAAUAAAGACGCUAACUGAGAUUCAGGUGAACUAAACCUAAGCUUUUGGGAACUAAGAUUUUUCUCAGUGUGUUUCUGUACAGACUGACCUGUUUAGAUUUAAUUUGUUUUCUUUAUCUUCACAGUUACACAUAAAUAAUGUACAUGGCUUAUAAAGUAGCCAUGUUGCAUUGUAAAAUUAUUAUUUAUGUUUCUUUAGCAUAAGAUUUUAUAAAGUUGGAAUUUAAG